rnacentral:rRNA from 1 species
AAGCCUGAUCCAGCAAUGCCGCGUGAGUGAAGAAGGCCUUCGGGUUGUAAAGCUCUUUUACCCGGGAAGAUAAUGACCGUACCGGGAGAAUAAGCCCCGGCUAACUCCGUGCCAGCAGCCGCGGUAAUACGGAGGGGGCUAGCGUUGUUCGGAAUCACUGGGCGUAAAGCGUGCGUAGGCGGCCAUUCAAGUCAGAGGUGAAAGCCCAGGGCUCAACCCUGGAACUGCCUUUGAAACUAGAUGGCUGGAACACGGGAGAGGUGAGUGGAAUUCCGAGUGUAGAGGUGAAAUUCGUAGAUAUUCGGAAGAACACCAGUGGCGAAGGCGGCUCACUGGACCGUUGUUGACGCUGAGGCACGAAAGCGUGGGGAGCAAACAGGAUUAGAUACCCUGGUAGUCCACGCCGUAAACGAUGAUAACUAGCUGUUGGGGCUCUUGGAGCUCCAGUGGCGCAGCUAACGCA